GCUUUAAAUGCUUCCCUGGAAGGCUGAUAAAUCCUACUGCCAUCUUUCUCUGACGAGUGAGUGUUAAUCUUUCAGUCGUGUCCAACUCUUUGCGACCCCAUGGACUGUAGCCUGACAGGCUCCUCUGUCCAUGGAAUUCUCCUGGUAAUACUGCAGUGGGUAGUCAUUCCCUUCUCCAGGGGAUUUUCCCAAACCAGGGAUCAAAUCCAGGUUUCCUGCAGCAUUCUUAUUUAUAUAUAUUUUUUUGUAUCCUAUCACUCUAGGCUCCAUGAGGUAUACCCAUCAAUGCAUAGGGAAGAGAUGACUCUCUCUUUUUUUUUUUACAGUUGCCUCUGCAGAGCCAUCUUCUGGAAGAAAACCCCAAUUGCCAAGGAUAAACACAUUUUUGAUCAUCUUCCUUUUUUUAUAGUGGAGUGCAGUUUAUUACACUGGUGGGCCCAAGGCAGAGUCUCCUCUUACCUAAGAACCCUGACCAGCUUUUGUGAAAACCUUAUAUACUCCAUGAAAGCCCAUCAUCUUUAUUGGUCCCUCCUUGGCCUCAGUGGAUGAGUGAGCAUUAGGUUAAGGCAAUCCUGAUGUAAUUCCUUUUCUUCCUGGUGAUGUUUGAUUUUAUACAGGUGUAAUCUUGCUUAAGAAAUGUGGAGGCAAAUAAGGGAACUUUUGGGUUUCUUCUGCUCUGGAAAGGGACAAAAAAAGGUUCAUACUUUUCUGAAUCUGGUUAUUGUUGGAUGAGAGCUGGUGCCAUCCAGCUCUCCUGAGACGAGAAAACAAAUACAAGGACAAAACUGACAUGCUGAGAACGGCAGAAGAAACGAUGGCGAGGACCUGGACCCCUGAUGUCACCGAGUCACUGACUGAAUCUGUGCUGAAUCUAUGCUGGAGCCGUUAGGAAUUAGUUCUUAUCAAGAUACUUUUAGUUAUGUUUCCUAUUGCUGGUGUUCAGUCACUAAGUUGUGUCUGACUCUUUCGCGACCCCACGGACUGUACUCUUCUGUCCCUGGGAUUCCCCAGGCAAGAAUAUUGGAGUGGGGUGCUGUUUCCUUCUGCAGGAGUUCUUCCCAAUGCAGGGAUCAAAUCCGUGUCUCUUGCAUUAGCAGGUAGAUUCUUUACCACUGAGCCGCCUGGGAAACCCUGCAUGUUUUCUAUUAUAAGCAUUUAAAAGCAUCCUAAGUAAUUAAUAUUAAAGCCAUCUCUCAUAAAAAUACUUUUUUUUUUUCAGGAAAGCUUAUUAGAAAUUGCUAUUGCUGGUUAUAAGACAUCCUAAACAGACCGAAUUUUCUAAAAGAUUGUUAAUCUCUGUAAAAAUAAAAGGCAUGACUUGAUUAGCAAUUGUUUAGUCUGGUGCUCCUCAAACUGCUAUUAUUUACAUCCCAGUCUUAUGAUUUUAUCAUAUCCUUGUGUCAUCUGUACUAAUAAAAACAUUUUUAAGUUGUUCAUUUUAAGUUGUUCUUUUUAAUAGUGUACUUAUUUAAAAAGUAAACGUUCUUAUUAACUAAAAAUUGAAAACCGGGAUUAUUUGCCUUAAAUCGAAUAAAAAAAGAAAUACCAAAAAAAAAAAAAAUACCAUGAGCUAAGUAAUGUUAUUAAAUUCUUGUCAGAUGUAGUUUCCAGUGAAGACUGAGCUGGAGGCCUGCUAUUUCUGUUGAAAGGAGACACUAGGGAGUGUUACUGAAGUGGUAAAAUAAUCCCCAUGCCAACUGGUACUAUGCUCCUGCUGUAACUGGAAGCACUAAAAGAGUAUGUCAACGGAGACAUCCAUGACUAGCUGAGUUUAUCUAAAUGUCAAGCUGGUGCCAUCUAAAAUCAUCUGAUAUUCCACCAGUGCUCUGAUUGCCCCUAAAACUGACUUGGCAAACAGCCCUCUCAAGGGCCUGGCACCCUGAGCAAUACCUCCUGUGGAGAUGCUCACAUUAACCUUGAGGAGAGGGAAAAAGGCCUAAUAAUCAGCCUUUGAUUGUUGUGAUUAUAAAAGGACAUAGGAAGUCAAUGUUACAAUGUUGUAUCAUACUUUAUACUAAAGCAAAGACAAGUAAUCAUUGAUUAUUUUCUCUAUGUCUGUUGUUUUUUACUUUUUGGAGUUAGUUGACCCAUUGAGAAUUUUUGGAAAAUUGUGGUUCUUCUACCCAGGAAAAUGCAAAACAUGGUUUUCUGAAUAUGCCUAUGAGUGAGUAAGAGUAGGAGGAUAAUUUAAAUGCACUAAACUAGGGACUUAUUCUCCUUUAAACAUCUACUUUGAACAGAACUAGGUUAUACUGAUAUUGCCUUCCAGGAGGCUUUAAGAGACAAGGCCAGGUUCUACAAAAAAGAGUAUUAGCCAACUCUGUAUAGUCAUCCUUCUGAAAUUUGGAAUGCCACUGAAUGUACCCAGUAAAAUUAUUCCUGGGCAAGCAGACUCCCAGGCCUGGGUGGAGUUCACAAGAGUUACUUUGGUAAAAUAAACAAAAAAUGACAGGAACUUUGGAUUGCUUUUGUCUGAACUUGAGUGUCUGGAUAGAUCAGCAAAAGCUGCAAACCACACACCUGCUUGUCAAAGCAAAGAGAAACCCAGCAGGCACCUGUUUCUUACACCGUCAGCUGUGCAAGGCUCUCACAGGAUUCUUAUUUAUGAUGGCCCCUCAGUCCUUAAAAAUACUCUCUCCUCUUUUUUCCAGCCAAAUAGCUUUACCUUUAAAAGACAUAGAAUGAGACUGGUUGUUUGUCAGUUGUUUCAUUUGCUAUUAUUUUCUCCCAUUCAGAAGGCUGUCUUUUCACCUUGCUUAUAUUUUCCUUUGUUGUGCAGAAGCUUUUAAUUUUAAUUAGAUCCCAUCUGUUUACUUUUGCUUUUAUUUCCAGAAUUCUUGGAGGUGGAUCAUAGAGGAUCCUGCUGUGAUUUAUGUUGGAGAGUGUUUUGCCUAUGUUCUCCUCUAGGAGUUUUAUAGUUUCUGAUCUUACAUUUAGAUCUUUAAUCCAUUUUGAGUUUAUUUUUGUGUGCGGUGUUAGAAAGUGAUCUAGCUUCAUUCUUUUACAAGUGGUUGACCAGUUUUCCCAGCACCACUUGUUAAAGAGAUGUCUUUACUCCAUUGUAUAUUCUUGCCUCCUUUGUCAAAGAUAAGGUGUCCAUAUGUGUGUGGAUUUAUCUCUGGGCUUUCUGGACUUUUGGACUCAGAGGGAGAGGGAGAGGGUGGGAUGAUUUGGGAGAAUGGCAUUGAAACAUGUAUACUAUCAUGUAAGAAUCGAAUCACCAAUCUAUGUCCAACACAGGAUACAGCAUGCUUGGGGCUGGUGCAUGGGGAUGACCCAGAGGGAUGUUGUGGGGAGGGAGGUGGAAGGGGGGUUCAUGUUUGGGAUCGCAUGUACACCCGUGGUGGAUUCAUGUUAAUGUAUGGCAAAACCAAUACAGUAUUGUAAAGUAAAAUAAAGUAAAAAUUAAAAUUAAAAAAUAUAUAUAUAUAAAAAUAAAAGGCAUAGAAUGAGUAGCAAGAUGAAAAAGACCAUUUUAACCUCUAAUUUCAAAAGAUAAUAUUAAAACCAUUUAAUAGUAGGACUAAGCCAUUAACUCAGAUGGUAAAUAAUCUGCCUACAAUGCAUGUGACCGAGGUUCAAACCCUAGGUCAGUAAGAUCCCCUGGAGAAGGAUAUGACAACCCACUCCAAUAUUCCUGCCUGGGAAAUUCCGUGGACAGAGGAGCCUGGUGGGCAACAGUCCAUGGGGUUGCAAAGAGUUGGACAUGACUGAAUGACUAACAAGACAUUAAAUAUAUAAUAAGAGAAUAGUUUUUGGAACACAUUUUAGUGGAUUAUGAAACCACAAACUAAGCUUCUUAUUUUUUCCUUUAAAUUUGGUAUUAGAUUGAGCUAAUAAUUCAUUUCAAACAUUUGUGAAUGAUUAAAUUAAAACAUAUUUCUUCCAAGCAUUGCAAAAAAUAGGUUAAAAGUACUUGGUCUUGAAGGGUAGAUCUAAGUAGUGAAGGCUAUCUAAUAUAAUUCUUUAUAUAACAAAUGCUGGAAAAAUACUAAAAAAAUAUGAAAGGUGAGUUUUUCAUCAUCUUCAAGUUAGUUGAUUUAUAUUAACAAGGACCUGCAGUUUUCCUUUAGCUUGUAGUUUAUUUAACACUUGGCCAGAGACAUCUAAAAAUAUCGCACGUCUGAAAAAUUUUUUGAGAUCAGUAAAGAUGAGUUCAUCUGCUUCACUGAGGUGUGAACUUAAUUCUGUAUCUGGAAGAAUUUUAGACUUCUUAAUAAUACCAUGGAAGCUGUCACAAAGGCCAUAAGUAAAAUAUUAUGCAAAUGUUAUCUUUUUCUUUGAAAAUUCUUUUUCUCCAAAGCCAACUAAAGCUGAACAAACUUAGGUGAUGGUGUGACUUGAGCACAGAAUCAGUUUGAUGAUGGUUACAUUAUCAUGGUGCCUUUCUCUGUGGUCUGUGAAAAUGCAAACUCUCCCCUCUCAGCUUCUUAAUCUUUAGGGUGACACUAUCUACACAUAACUUUUGUUUACUAGUAUUGGAAACUUGUUCACUGGUGAACUUUGAGAAGUGCAUUAAAACAGUCUAGAUGAAUGUGUGAGGAAUAUAGUUUGAAUAAAACAAGAUUAUCCCUUUCAGGGUUAUAUAAAACACAAAUUCAUUAUCCUUCCAGUAACAAUAGAUUAAUAUUUAAUGACACCAUCUAUCUGGCAGGGACUAAAAUUUAAGACUAGGCCGUAUGAGAUCCUGAAAAUAGACUGCAAGUUUCUUUAAGGAUAUUUCAAACUGCUGGGAUCGAUGCCAC
rnacentral:lncRNA from 1 species